CAGGAAACUGAGGCUCAGAGAAAUUAGGCACCUGGCCAGAGAGCGUGCCCGAUCCUGCGUCCUGACAUCUCCCCUGGAAGCCUGCCUGACAGACUCGUCAGCCCAGGUUAGGGAGGCAGUUCCUUCUCCAGCCCACCCAAAAUACACAGUAGCAGCAGUUACACACUGGGUGUCCCCUGAAGGCCAGCACACGUUUUUUCAUCUCUGUGUCCCCAGGACAUGACAUGAGUCACCAGGUCCAGUCGGCACCCAAGGGAAGGGAUCCCACGAGAGCACGGACACCUGGAGGCAGGACCAUUGGGAGUCAUCAUGGAGGCUGCUCACCUGAGACCUGGAUUCUAAACCCAUCACAUGGCCCGAGUUGAAAGCCUUGCACGCUCACAUGGUGUCUAUAUACAUUGAGUGAGUGGCUUAACCUCACGUGCCUAUAGUUUCUCAGCUAUAAAUGGGGAUAAUACCUUAUUUCAUCAAAUCUAAGAUGGCCUUGGUGGAAAGCCAGCAUCACUUUAUACAUCAUUAAGAAAAAUACCCUCUGUCCAUUUGUGGGAAGACACACUACCAUGUCAGAGGGGUUAAAAUGUGGGGAAAAUAAAUAUGUGCCUUGAAAUGAAUGAGACACUCAGAAUCUGUUUCCUAAGGUGGUUCUGAGACUUCCGUGGCUGGUGCCAUUUAAGGCUAUAGUGAGCCUUAGAUAUAUGGAAGGCUGCAAACUGGGGUGGGCUGUCCAGAUGU